ensembl:lncRNA
CACACAGAUAUAAGUAUAUUUGUUGCUAGCUAAGCAAUAACGUGCCUGUGUGAAGUUGAAAUUAAAAAUACUUACUGUUGUUUAUGCACAUGCACACAAACGACGCACACAUUCUUAAAGUUGUCAACGUUUUAAGUGUUGGUAAAGACCAAAUAUAUUUUUUUUUACUUACCGACACGGCAAACAUCUUCUUUUUUAGCGGUUGAAAAAACAAUACAAAUUAUCUUCUUAUCGAUGCUUCUUCUUCCUGUUUCAAAAUGAUUGAGAAUGUGACGUAUUUUGACAUGGGCGUGGUCUGUGACGUCACACUUGGAUGUGGGCCGGGUUGGAUGUCCACCGCAGGCUGCCAAGCGUGUACGUCUGCAGACUGCAAGAAAGGGGCGUAACUUGAAAGAGGCGUAACUUGAAGUAGGAGGCGUAACUUGAAGUUGUCGAAAUCUCACAGAAUCACGCGAGAUGUCAAAAUGAUAAGUUGUUGGCAAUAUGGCUGCUUUCAAUAGGGCACAGAGUAGAAUAUUGAUUACGUUUUUUAAGGGAAGCAGGGGUUUUAGGCAGGAUUUGAUGCAUAAGGUGUGUGUAGAUAUUAAUGCUAGGGGACAAUGUGAGUGAUGUGUACGUUUAGUAGGAAAACCUAUUAUCUGAUCCACACUCCGGGACAGAAGAGGGCGGUAUUGCACCAAUAAGCUGGAUGCCAACCGCCGUUAAACUGGAAAGCAGUUACAAUGAGUUACAAUGGAACAGAUUAUGUUUAUCUGCUGUAGAGUGACUGAAGAAGGAAUGCUGCCAUCAAAGGAUUUGUAUCUUUUGUGGUGGAGCAGGACCUGCAAGGAAAGGGGAAAAAAAGGAAAAACCUGAAACAAAAGAAUAAAGUAGUGGUGCUCAUGGAGAGCAGCACACGAUUGUUUGGAGCAGACACAGCAGCAAUCAGAUUGUCCUGCACGUGUUCUUCUGCUCUCGCUUCAAGGUAGUGUGGUUCAGAGAGCCGUCAUCAAGGUCUUCCUCAUCCUGUUGCUCAACGACAUCCCCGUUGAGAAGAGCGAGACUGAGAAGCACAGCGCAGCAGCAGAACUGUCUCAGCUGUGUUGAGAUGAUAGUAAGAUGUGGGGUUCACCGUCUGUAAAUACAUGAUUGUUAGAACAGUUAGUUUGAAAGAAGCUUUGUUUCAUGUGUUGUUGACUUGUACAUGUAUGCAUUUAUUGUGAUGCUAACAUUUAUACAUUCUUUUAAUCAUUUAGACAUGUUUCUUAUUGUCAGUAAAUAAAAUAUAAAUAUUUGAUCUAUUCAUGUAUUAAUUGCUUGACUGAAAACUGUUGUAUUCACAUCAACUGCAUUAGUGUAUAUUCAUGUAUAGCUAUGUCACGACAGAAAAUACAUUUUGCUUCUUUUACUAAAAUGUAAUUUUAAGGAAAAAAAUGUAUAUAAUUAUUGGUUGGCAUUUAUCAUUAUUAUUGCAUGUAAGUGUUGGGGUGGGCAAAAGAUGCAAUUCAUUAUGGGGUAAUGUUAAUUUUUGAGUAGUAAUACUUACAUUUUUAGAGUAUAAAAUCAACAAUCUUCUCCAAAGGUGAGAUCUUUGAGCAGCUGUUCGACGUUUCGUUUGUGCAGAUAUUGCAGAGUCGCUGAGAGAGACUGUACUGGACUGUUGAGUUAGUGAUGCUGUGAGGUGGUAGUGCACCUGUACCUCUUUUUUAUUAUUAUUGCCAAACUUAUUACAUAAAAGAUCAUGGUAAGACGGUUGUAUCUAACAAUAACAAUCUUAACGCCAUAAAACAGUAAAUAAAAAAAAUAACGUGUUCAUCAUAGUAUGAGAUACUAUACAAGAAAAAAAAUUCACAUAAAAUAAUUGAAAAAAUAUUCUAGAGAUAACGAUUUUGGGUUUUCUAAUUCUAUAAAAAAUCACAUUAGUGGAGUUAAAAAUAUAAAAACUUAAAUUAACAGUAUUGGCUAUACUACAAUCUUAAUUAUCAAGAUACAAAUACAUUCAUUAAACCUGUCACUCAUAUCUUUUAAGUUUUUACGCUCGUUUUAACUUUGUAGGUCACAUGAUCAACAUAGCGUAUGAUGAUAUCCAAAUCGCAUUAAUGCUUCAUACACAAAUACGCAUUCAGGCUGUAGAGUAUGUACUCUUUUAUCGCUCGUUAAAUUAGUUCUUAUUGAAAUUAAGUGCCUAAUUAAAGGGUAUGCGGUUUCGAAUGCAGCCCGACAAAAUCUCGUUUUGACAUCUCGCGUGGUUCUGUGUGAUUUGGACAACUUCAAGUUACGCCUCUUUCGUCAAGUUACGCCCACUUCAAGUUACGCCCCUGUCUUGCAGUCUGCAGACAGACCCUUCUCC